rnacentral:lncRNA from 1 species
GUCCCAAUGCCUUUUGUAGCAAGGGAUAAGCCUAGACAAAGUAACAUAGCGAGGACCAGUAGUAAAAGACUCGUAGGUAGUGGAUCGGUGAUGGAUGAGUAUUAUGGAUGUGAUUCAGCAUGUAACAGCUAUAACACGGAGAGAUAUGUAACUAGCUCCCGUUCGUCAAUCUAAUGUAGGCAUGUAUUCCGUAUGUAGUCAUACGUGCUUAGGGGAAAGAACUUGCAUGACAUCUAUUGUCCAUCGCUCCCAUGGCAGCGGGUUCCUAAUGGAAACUAUGGGAUAUUAAGG